CCUACGGGAGGCAGCAGUGGGGAAUAUUGGGCAAUGGAGGAAACUCUGACCCAGCGACGCCGCGUGCGGGAUGAAGGCCUUCGGGUUGUAAACCGCUUUCAGUAGGGAAGAAGCGAAAGUGACGGUACCUACAAAAGAAGCACCGGCUAACUAUGUGCCAGCAGCCGCGGUAAUACAUAGGGUGCAAGCGUUGUCCGGAAUUAUUGGGCGUAAAGAGCUCGUAGGUCGUUUGUUACGUCGGAUGUGAAAACCCUGAGGCUCAACCUCAGGCCUGCAUUCGAUACGGGCAAACUAGAGUUUGGUAGGGGAGACUGGAAUUCCUGGUGUAGCGGUGGAAUGCGCAGAUAUCAGGAGGAACACCAAUGGCGAAGGCAGGUCUCUGGGCCAAUACUGACACUGAGGAGCGAAAGUCUGGGGAGCGAACAGGAUUAGAUACCCUGGUAGUCCAGACCGUAAACGGUGGGCACUAGUUGUGGGAACCUUCCACGGUUUCCGCGACGCAGCUAACGCAUUAAGUGCCCCGCCUGGGGAGUACGAUCGCAAGNUUAAAACNAAGAUGACG
rnacentral:rRNA from 1 species